rnacentral:rRNA from 1 species
CGGAAUCUACCUUUUCGUGGGGGAUAACGUAGGGAAACUUACGCUAAUACCGCAUACGACCUUCGGGUGAAAGCAGGGGACCUUCGGGCCUUGCGCGGAUAGAUGAGCCGAUGUCGGAUUAGCUAGUUGGCGGGGUAAAGGCCCACCAAGGCGACGAUCCGUAGCUGGUCUGAGAGGAUGAUCAGCCACACCGGAACUGAGACACGGUCCAGACUCCUACGGGAGGCAGCAGUGGGGAAUAUUGGACAAUGGGCGCAAGCCUGAUCCAGCCAUACCGCGUGGGUGAAGAAGGCCUUCGGGUUGUAAAGCCCUUUUGUUGGGAAAGAAAAGCAGUCGGCUAAUACCCGGUUGUUCUGACGGUACCCAAAGAAUAAGCACCGGCUAACUUCGUGCCAGCAGCCGCGGUAAUACGAAGGGUGCAAGCGUUACUCGGAAUUACUGGGCGUAAAGCGUGCGUAGGUGGUUGUUUAAGUCUGUUGUGAAAGCCCUGGGCUCAACCUGGGAAUUGCAGUGGAUACUGGGCGACUAGAGUGUGGUAGAGGGUAGUGGAAUUCCCGGU